GAUGACCAGUAAGCUGCACUGUGCCAAUGUGUUCAUCUUUGCAUGGGACAAGUGUCAAAGGGUGUACUUGAGGACUCACAUCGCUCCCAACAUGCUUUGUGCCGGUGUCCCAAAAGACAACAAAGAUUCGUGCCAGGGUGCUCUGGGGGCCUUUGGUUUGUGAACACAAACUGCAAGGUGUGGUGUCCUGGGGCCCCCCACCUUGUGGCCAGAAGGGACAUCCAGGUGCCUACAGCAAUCUGUAUAAUGUGGCAGCAUGGAUUGAGAAACUGAGGCUCCUUGUGGAUUGGAUAGAUGGCUCCCAGGUCACACAAGCCCCAGUUAGAUCUGCUACCACACACAACCCACCCCAUCCUCAUUCUUUGUAUCCAUCCCAUCCAUGAUUGUUGAGGUUGGGGUACCUCAGUGAAGCUCCCAAGGCCUAUAAAGCAAGCCUGGGCUGGAGUGGGAGGGGAUCAACUUGUUAUCAGUGUGAAAAAUCAUGAGAUCCUGAAACUGACAUAAGAUAUCAUGAGAUCAUAGUAAAAAAAAAAUGAGGUAGGUUUAAAAAGUCCAAGGUGACUGAGAAGACAUCAACGUUGGCCCAAAUGUUAUAAGUGUGGUGGAAACUGGGUAAAACUCCCAAAAUACUGAGACUGAUGCAAGGAUGGAUUAUCUGAAAUUAAAAGACUGGAUAGGCCAACCACAUCCAAGUUGAGACAGGCCUACCAUGUACAAGCUGGGAUAGGCCAACCACAUCUGAGUUGAGGCAGGCUUACCACAUCCGAGUUGGGGCAAGCCAACCACAUCCAGUUUGGGUAGGCAUACCACGUCUACGUUAGGGCAGGCCAACCACAUCUGAGUUCGGGCAGGCUUACCAUGUCCAAGUUCAGGUAGCCCUAUCAUGUUCAAAUUGGGGCAGGCCAACCACAUCUGAGUUGGGACAGGCCCACCAUGUCCAAGUUUGGGGUAGGCCAGCAAUGUCCAAAUUAAAAGGUGGUGAGUUUGUCUCUGAAACAUUAGCAUCAGCAUGGUCAUUGUGAACUUAGGUAAGAAAAACCUGAAAAAGUUUGAAAUUGGCAUAAGAAAUCAGGAGAUCCAAGUGAAAAAUAAAUAUGAAGCAGCACUAGAAAUUCCAAGAUGGCCUCGGAAACUUCAGUACAGGCUUGAAUGACAUGAGAUGGGCUGCCUGGAUGGUUGAGGGCAAGAUAUUUUAUUGGACAGACUGCACUCUUAAUACUACCUUCCAAUAACUAAA